GAGCCCUAAAAUGACUUGAGCCUCACAUCAACUCUCUUUGCUACAGUUAAGUCAAUUCUCUUUUCUUAGUUAUCUAAGUGCCAGCCAAAUACUGCAUCUUAGCAUUUUUCAUUCCAAACCACUUUGUGGAUGAAGAGGGCCACACUGAAAUGGGCCACUCCCUGAACUGAUUGGUUUUCUGCUAUUGUACUCUAUUUAACCAGAUAGGAAAAAAUAAAACAGCACAAUUUCUCUAACACAAAAGCAGUACAGUCUAUAUUCUCCCCCAUACCUCCAAACACACAUGCCACCAGAUUCAAACAGCUGUUACCCACUUACCUAUUUAGAAAUGCAAUCAAAUAUAAAUAUUUUCAGAGACAGAUCAAUUCUUGCAUUCUAAAACUCUGUGGCAACAGUAAUUCUUAUGAGUCAUUACCUAAGAUUUCAUGCCUAUGCCACAGGCAAGUCAUGCUCCAAACUGUUCAAUCAUUUCAUUUAAAGCGCUCAAAAACUGAAUUGGGUUUUGCCAUAUAUGGGCCAUAACUUUUCAUGUACGGAAGAAUGGAUCAAAUCCAACAGAAAACUGCAAAUGAUUUUCUCUCUAGUUUUAUACAGUAAUGGGUUUAUUCUCCCAAAUUCUAGGACUUUCUCAAGCGGUUGCAGGAAUUGCGGUUUUGGCUCUCUUAAGCCAAUGUAAGCACAUUUCCCACUGUUCAUUAACUGAGAGAAGGCCAAAUAACAUUGUGGCACUUUUGAAAAGCUGAAGGAAUCUCGGUUUUAGUGGUCUCCUUUGAAAUUAU
rnacentral:lncRNA from 1 species